AAAGUAUAGUGAGGGAAUUUCCUAAUCAAUUUCUUAAAUCUCUCACAUGUCUCAUAAAUUGAUUCUCCUUCAAACUAGGUAAAAAAGUAAUAUCAUUUCUAUGUUU